rnacentral:rRNA from 1 species
UACGAGGGGGGGCGAGCGUUUGUUCGGAAUUAUUGGGCGUAAAGGGUGCGUAGGCGGUUUGGUAAGUCUCUUGUGAAAUCUAUGGGCUCAACUCAUAGUCUGCAAGGGAAACUGCCGUGCUUGAGGACUGGAGAGGAGACUGGAAUUUACGGUGUAGCGGUGAAAUGCGUAGAUAUCGUAAGGAAGACCAGUGGCGAAGGCGGGUCUCUGGACAGUUCCUGACGCUGAGGCACGAAGGCCAGGGGGAGCAAACGGG